rnacentral:rRNA from 1 species
GGCGUAAAGAGCUUGUAGGCGGUUUGUCGCGUCUGCUGUGAAAGGCCGGGGCUUAACCCCGUGUAUUGCAGUGGGUACGGGCAGACUAGAGUGCAGUAGGGGAGACUGGAACUCCUGGUGUAGCGGUGGAAUGCGCAGAUAUCAGGAAGAACACCGAUGGCGAAGGCAGGUCUCUGGGCUGUAACUGACGCUGAGAAGCGAAAGCAUGGGGAGCGAACAGGAUUAGAUACCCUGGUAGUCCAUSCCGUAAACGUUGGGCACUAGGUGUGGGGGACAUUCCACGUUUUCCGCGCCGUAGCUAACGCAUUAAGUGCCCCGCCUGGGGAGUACGGCCGCAAGGCUAAAACUCAAAGAAAUUGACGGGGGCCCGCACAAGCGGCGGAGCAUGCGGAUUAAUUCGAUGCAACGCGAAGAACCUUACCAAGGCUUGACAU